UAUCCUGCUAACGUGAAAGACGCUAUGCAAAUGUAAGUUUGUAUUGUAGUUUGUAUUGUUACUUCAAAAAUAUAUCCAGGUGCUUUUACAUGUAGUAGUUGAUGAUUAGGUAACGCUCCAUGGUAUUUUGUUUACAUCAAUGGUUACGUAUAUUAGACACAAAUCUAUUAUUUAAUACAUUAAAUAGUUACUUUGAUUAUAUCCACGCACCAGAUACAGUUAAAUAAUUUCCCGAUCUUGUUAUGACCGCAGAUGAGUUAUUACAUUAAGGUGUUUUACAGAAGUACCCCCCGCAAAAUGGAGGAUUACAGCUACUUUGCUGAGACAUUUAGACUCUCUGAAACUCUCGUUAAUUUUACGAUGCUACCGUUUCCUUUUCAGUACAACUACUCAGAGAUGCUGAAUGCCCAAACAAUACAGAAUAACCUGUAGACUGUCCACACGGUAAAGGACAGCAAAGAGCAAAAGAGUUGAGGAAAAGCGGGCGGAGGGGGCCAUGGAGCGGGGGCGGAGCUCGCUGUGCGGAAGGAGCAGGCAGAAAAAGAGACAAAGAAACAUUAGCUUCUCUAAGAGAUUGCACCAAGAUAGAAUCUGUAAGACUAUGGCAUCUUGCAUACUACAGCUCCUUCAGGUAGGAUCAUGUCUAUUCUAUUUGGUCUUCUAAUAAUAAUCCUGACAUUUGGUACAGUGCCUUAUCACGU